rnacentral:lncRNA from 1 species
CCGGAUCUGAAUAGUAGUUGAAUUUGACAUUUGGUGCGACGCUGACAUUAGAGGAUGAUUGCAGAGUGAGAUAACCAGCAGAUAAAGGUCCAGGAACUUUGCUAACAAUGUGAGCGAAAGUCUGAUUUGGAAGGGGAUAAGAUGUGGUAGGGAAAAGACUAAAAGGGGGAGUAUCAAAUGGCAAGCUCGAUAGAGAACAUUGGUAGAAAUCGCUUUUAAUGCCUAGAACGGUUACAGUUGAAGCUUCUAUAGGAUUUGGGGGCAAAAUGUUAAUGAAAUUACGAGGGUUGUCAUUUAAAUUUUGCCCGACGUAAGGAUGGGAAGCAACAACUGAAAUGUUCAGAGAUGUUAGGUAAGACUCCGGGCCAACACCACUAAGUAGUAGAAGUUGAGGGGUUCCAAGUGCCCCUGCACUCAAUAUAACUUCCCCCUUACCCCUUACAAAUGCACGAUGAGACGUUCCAUUAGAAUCAGUAUAUACGACUCCUACAGCUGUCACACCUGCAUUGAAGAAUAACUUAUAACUAUGAACAAACAAUUUAUGAGAUUGUAUUCGUGCUAUCAAUGUUUUAAAAUGAUUAAAUAUUUACUUUGGAGUGGAGCAGCUGUCUCAGAGGCAACAUACCUGAUGCUUCGGUAAGGAAGAUGAUCUUCUGCACUGCUGCUUCAACCGCAACUUUCAAGUUGUCCGGGUCUCCUUUAUUAAG